rnacentral:rRNA from 1 species
AACGAACGCUGGCGGCAUGCCUAACACAUGCAAGUCGAACGAAACCUUCGGGUCUAGUGUCGCACGGGUGCGUAACGCGUGGGAAGCUGCACUUGUGUUCGGAAUACCUCCCCGAAAGGGGUGCUAAUACCGGAUAAUGUCUUCGGACCAAAGAUUUAUUGCCUUAGGAUGGACCCGCGUUGGAUUAGCUGGUUGGUAGGGUAAAAGCCUACUAAGGCGACGAUCCGUAGCUGGUCUGAGAGGAUGAUCAGCCACACUGGGACUGAGACACGGCCCAGACUCCUACGCGAGGCAGCAGUGGGGAAUAUUGGACAAUGGGCGGAAGCCUGAUCGAGCAAGGCCGGGUGAGUGAUGAAGGCCUUAGGGUUGUAAAGCUCUUUUACCCGGGAUGAUAAUGACAGUACCGGGAGAAUAAGCUCCGGCUAACUCCGUG